rnacentral:rRNA from 1 species
UACGAAGGGGGCUAGCGUUGCUCGGAAUCACUGGGCGUAAAGGGUGCGUAGGCGGGUCUUUAAGUCAGGGGUGAAAUCCUGGAGCUCAACUCCAGAACUGCCUUUGAUACUGGUGAUCUUGAGUCCGGGAGAGGUGAGUGGAACUGCGAGUGUAGAGGUGAAAUUCGUAGAUAUUCGCAAGAACACCGGUGGCGAAGGCGGCAUCCUGGACCAAUUCUGACGCUGAGGAGCGAAAGCCAGGGGAGCAAACGGG